GACGAACGCUGGCGGCGUGCUUAACACAUGCAAGUCGAACGGAAAGUCCCUGCUUUUGUGGGGGGCUCGAGUGGCGAACGGGUGAGUAACACGUGAGUAACCUGCCCUUGACUUUGGGAUAACUUCAGGAAACUGGGGCUAAUACCGGAUAGGAGCUCCUGCUGCAUGGUGGGGGUUGGAAAGUUUCGGCGGUUGGGGAUGGACUCGCGGCUUAUCAGCUUGUUGGUGGGGUAGUGGCUUACCAAGGCUUUGACGGGUAGCCGGCCUGAGAGGGUGACCGGCCACAUUGGGACUGAGAUACGGCACAGACUCCUACGGGAGGCAGCAGUGGGGAAUAUUGCACAAUGGGCGGAAGCCUGAUGCAGCAACGCCGCGUGCGGGAUGACGGCCUUCGGGUUGUAAACCGCUUUCGCCUGUGACGAAGCGUGAGUGACGGUAAUGGGUAAAGAAGCACCGGCUAACUACGUG
rnacentral:rRNA from 1 species